rnacentral:sRNA from 12 species
UCUUUGGAGUGCUGUACAAACGCCAGUAGCCUGUCUUUUUUGGCGGCGAGAGCGAGUACGAUGAACAAGGAA